rnacentral:rRNA from 1 species
GACGAACGCUUGCGGCGUGCCUAAGAAAUGCAAGUCGAGCGAGGUUUAGGCUUCGGCCGACGACCUAGCGGCGAACGGUCGCGUAACACGUAAGCAACCUGCCCUAAAGUUGGGGAUAGCCCGCCGAAAGGCGGAUUAAUACCGAAUGUGGAUAUGUAUUCGCAUGUAUAUAUAUCUGAAGCAGCGAUGCGCUUUAGGAUGGGCUUGCGGCCUAUCAGUUAGUUGGUGUGGGUAACGGCCUACCAAGACGACGACGGGUAGCUGGUCUGAGAGGAUGGUCAGCCGGAUUGGGACUGAGACACGGCCCAGACUCCUACGGGGGCAGCAAUUAGGAAUCUUGCGCAAUGGGCGAAAGCCUGACGCAGCGACGCCGCGUGACUGAUGAAGUCUUUCGAGAUGUAAAGGUCUUUUGUUGGGGACGAAGGAAGUGACGGUACCCGACGAAUAAGCCCCGGCUAACUACGUGCCAGCAGCCGCGGUAAAUGUGUGUGUACUGA